GCUGGAAAGGAAGUCGGGCACAGACACAAAAUAAAACAUCCGGCUUCUUUUCAAAAUAAAACACUCUGUUUUUCAGGAGGAUCAUAUUUCACACCAUGCAAACAGGCGGAGACGAACAAGUGAAAGGUUUUUAGACAUCAUUUCACCCUGAUGACACCAUGGAUGAGGAGAUGCUGAUUCUAGAAGUCUAGAAGCAGAUUU